GGCUAAGCAGCCAGUGUGGUGUAGUGGUUAGAAUGUUGGACUAGGACUUCGGAGGCCAGGGUUUGAAUCCCCACUUGGUCG